CGCCAGAUCUAAUUUCUUUCAAUAUAGCUAGGUUUUUAAUUUUACAUGUAGGUGUCAUUAUCCACAUUUCUGAAUUGUUUUUUUUUUACUGCAGUAAUAUUUUGUCUUUUAAUAUUUACAUUUAGUCCUUCUCUGAAAAAUAGGGGGAAGUAUCUCUUCUUUAUAUUAUCAUAACAUAGUUAUAAAUCGAGUUUCGUUUAUUUUCUUUCUAAUUUUUGUAAAGUAAACUCCUUUUUUUAAUUUUUAUGCAUUUUGCUGGGUUUUUAUUUUUGACUGGUGAUAUUAAGGGGAGAUAACCACUUGCACAAAUCGGCAUAAAAACCACCGCUUCGGUUUGAAAUCAAUUUGACGUUUGCGUAUCCAACAUUCUAUUGCCGAGAUAUUCAUAUCGAG
rnacentral:lncRNA from 1 species